UACAGAGGGUGCGAGCGUUAUUCGGAAUCACUGGGCUUACAGGGUGCGUAGGCGGUCUGUUAAGUAGGGUGUGAAAGCCCCCGGCUCAACCGGGGAAUUGCGCCCUAAACUGGCGGACUGGAGUGAGAUAGGGGUGUGCGGAACUUCCGGUGGAGCGGUGAAAUGUGUUGAUAUCGGAAGGAACGCCGGUGGCGAAAGCGGCACACUGGAUCUCAACUGACGCUGAGGCACGAAAGCCAGGGGAGCGAACGGG
rnacentral:rRNA from 1 species